AUUGAACGCUGGCGGCAGGCCUAACACAUGCAAGUCGAACGAGUGGCGGACGGGUGAGUAAUGUCUGGGAAACAGCCUGAUGGAGGGGGAUAACUACUGGAAACGGUAGCUAAUACCGCAUACCAUCAGAUGUGCCCAGAUGGGAUUAGCUAGUUGGGGGGGUAACGGCGCACCAAGGCGACGAUCCCUAGCUGGUCUGAGGGGAUGACCAGCCACACGGGAACUGAGACGCGGUCCAGACUCCUACGGGCGGCAGCAGUGGGGAAUAGUGCACGAUGGGCGCAAGCCUGAUGCAGCCAUGCCGCGUGUAUGAAGAAGGCCUUCGUGUUGUAAAGUACUUUCAGCGGGGAGGCGUUACCCGCAGAAGAAGCACCGGCUAACUCCGUGCCAGCAGCCGCGGUAAUUC
rnacentral:rRNA from 1 species